rnacentral:rRNA from 1 species
GACGAACGCUGGCGGCGUGCCUAAUACAUGCAAGUCGAAAGCAGUGGGGACGGGUGAGUAACACGUGGGUAACCUCCCAUCAGAGGGGAUAACACUUGGAAACAGGUGCUAACCCGAUAUGGAUGGAUGGACCAGCUGUUCAUUAGCUAGUUGGUGAGGUAACGGCUAACCAAGGACACGAGGCAUAGCCGACCUGAGAGGGGGAUCGGCCACACUGGUACUGAGACACGGCCCAGACUCCUACGGGAGGCAGCAGUAGGGAAUCUUCGGCAAUGGACGAAAUUCUGACCGAGCAACGCCGCGUGAGUGAAGAAGGUUUUCGGAUCGUAAACCUCUGUUGUUAGAGAAGCGGUAUCUAACCAGAAAGCCACGGCUAACUACGUGCCAGCAGCCGCGGUAAUUC